AUUGAACGCUGGCGGCAUGCUUUACACAUGCAAGUCGAACGGUAACAGGUCUUCGGAUGCUGACGAGUGGCGAACGGGUGAGUAAUGCAUCGGAACGUGCCCAGUCGUGGGGGAUAACGCAGCGAAAGCUGUGCUAAUACCGCAUACGAUCCAUGGAUGAAAGCGGGGGACCGUAAGGCCUCGCGCGAUUGGAGCGGCCGAUGUCAGAUUAGGUAGUUGGUGGGGUAAAGGCUCACCAAGCCAACGAUCUGUAGCUGGUCUGAGAGGACGACCAGCCACACUGGGACUGAGACACGGCCCAGACUCCUACGGGAGGCAGCAGUGGGGAAUUUUGGACAAUGGGCGCAAGCCUGAUCCAGCAAUGCCGCGUGCAGGAAGAAGGCCUUCGGGUUGUAAACUGCUUUUGUACGGAACGAAAAGGUCUGGGUUAAUACCCUGGGCUCAUGACAGUACCGUAAGAAUAAGCACCGGCUAACUACGUGCCAGCCGCCGCGGUAACAC
rnacentral:rRNA from 1 species